rnacentral:rRNA from 1 species
AUUGAACUUAAGAGUUUGAUCCUGGCUCAGAUUGAACGCUGGCGGCAUGCCUAACACAUGCAAGUCGAACGGUAACAGGUCUUCGGAUGCUGACGAGUGGCGGACGGGUGAGUAACGCGUAGGAAUCUGUCUUUGAGUGGGGGGCAACCCAGGGAAACUUGGGCUAAUACCGCAUAAGCCCUGAGGGGGAAAGCGGGGGAUCUUCGGACCUCGCGCUGGAAGAGGAGCCUACGUCUGAUUAGCUAGUUGGUAGGGUAAAG